CUAGGUCCCAGCAUUGCAUCAUCAACAUGUACACGUCUGGUGGGCAUGCAUUCGGUGCUGAUAGCCGUUGGCCAUCGCGCACAAUUAAUCGGAGUAUUUCCGAUCCAUUCAAACCUGAAGAAGACUGGCGGCGGCGUGGUGAGCCAGGUUGCUAAGCUUCAGAAAAUAUGAUUGCACGUAAUAAUCGUCGACUGAGACGUUAUAUUCGUGAGCGUGUGCUGCUCUCAGAGACUAGUCUGCUGUUUACUACUUAUGACUGAUUAUAUUUAGUACAAUCAAUACAAACAAAAUAAAUUGGUUUUAAAAGAGUAACCAUCUAGAAGCUUAUAAACAAAUCAGUUUAAAUAAGAUGAUUUCUAUAUUUAAAUACAUUUGUAAAUAUGGUUGCCUCAGCUAUAAUAGAAACCUGAGUGCUACGGCGAACAUCCAUACGUCGGAGGCGUGAGAGAAUUGACGCGAGCGGAGCGACUCCGGCGCACACCACGGAAACGGCACGCGGCGCCGCUCGCUCAUGACAUAACAGUCAUCUGCAUC